GAGAAAGACUGCAAUGAGAUGAAGCAACCAAUCUUGCUUUUUUAUUAGUCAGGGAUUAAUCCAUAAUGAUCUGAGAGGUAAGAAGAAAUCUGUCCCUAUAUCAUGUGACAGGAGAUUUUCUGUCUUCCUUCGGAGCCAGUGACGAGGCUCCUUGCUUCAACCCUUCACUAUCUAUAUAGGUUGCCUUCUCCUUCCUUCCUUCCUUCUUUUUAGACCCUUCUCUACAUUUGUUCUGGGCACAUACUGAAUUGAUUUGUGCUUGUAGCUGCACUUUGGGAACAUACAGAGACCUCCAUCAGGGUCAGGUAGCAUUCACAAGGAGCUGCUAUUGGGAACAUGUGUGCACCUGCUCACUCAUCCAGCAAUGCAGAUCCUAGGUUAGCAAAGGAGUGACUAGGGAGCUCACCCACGUUUCAGAUGUGUACCAACAGCUACUCAUAGCUAUGCCUUUGCGGAUGAAGAGCUGAAGAGUUCAAGAGAAAUCCCCAUUGGCCCUUGGUAAUUUUCACCAUGAGAUGAUUUUACCUCGUCAGUUUCAUGUGGCAGGUACGUGUGUGUCUGUGUGUGUAUAUAUACACACUCCUCCCCCACAUACAUACCUGGUGACAGAUGGUGUUUACCACUGCAGUGGGAAAGCUUGAGAACAAACAGGCUCCCUGAUGUGGUAAAUACCAGCUUUUCGGUUCGUGGGGGUGCGUUGAUGAGAAAGUCGUUUUGGUCCAUGGGAAAUUACGGCACUUGAAAGAGUCACCAUUCGGAUGGCUAGCUCUGGCCUUGCCUGCUCCAGGGGGCAAUAAAGAAAGAGCUGGAAGAUCCAUAGAAGGACCUUGUUUGGGCACCCACACCAGUCAUAACCAUCAUCCAGGUGCCUGGGGGAGGAGGAGACCCUGGUCAUUCUUCAGGGGCUACCAGGAAUUACAUAGGGUGCAGAACUUGUGGCCUUCCAGAUGUUGGCCUCCAUCAACCCCAGCCAGCAUGGUCAUGAGAGCUGCAGCCCCCAACAUCUGGAGACUGACAGAUCCUCCUCACCUCUGCUGAAUAGGUAGCUAUAGGUCUUCAUAAAAACGGGGAAUUUUUAUUGUUGUCAAGAGUAUCCAACAGCAAAGCCAGAUUCAAUGCAGGCACAGUCCACAAACAGAACAAAUGGCGCUUCAGACUCCAGACCAUGGAUAGGCAAACUAAGGCCUGGGGGCUGGAUCUGGCCCAAUCGCCUUCUCAAUCCGGCCCAUGGAUGGUCCGGGAAUCAGCGUGUUUUUACAUGAGUAGAAUGUGUCCUUUGAUUUAAAAUGCAUCUCUGGGUUAUUUGUGAGGCCUGCCUGGUGUUUUUACAUGAGCAGAAUGUGUGCUUUUAUUUAAAAUGCAUCUCUGGGUUAUUUGUGGGGCAUACGAAUUCUUUCAUUUCCCCCCAAAAAAUAUAGUCCAGCCCCCCCACAAGGUCUGAGGGACAGUGGACCGGCCCCCUGCUGAAAAAGUUUGCUGACCCCUGCUCCAGACCUACUAGGUGAAGAAGGAUGACAAAGUGCCCCUUCUCCUCUCCCUGUCCCCAAAAUAAACAGUGCCUACCUGUUCAUAUCUUUUUACCUGUUAAUCCAACCCUACCAGACCCAAGAUGCCCACCGCCUUCCUGGGGCUUAAGAGAAAUCUAGCAGCGGUAAAUGAUGGGGAAACCUUGCCCCUCCUAAGACCUCACCCUAAUCUCCAACACUUAGGGACGGUUUUAAAAAACAGUGUAUGAAUUUUAUUAUCUCUCCCCAAAAUGCAGUGGGUCCGCAAAUCCCCAUUCAUACCCUAAUUGGAAAGCUUUGGAGUGCAUUGCUCAGGACAGGGGAGUGGAGCUUAAGGAUGGGCCCUUCAGCAAUUGGGGUGGGGGGUGAGGGGGCAGGGGCAGGACAUGCCAAUGCAUUUCCCAUCCUGAUUUGGGGGGGGGCAGUUGAGGGCUGCACUCCAUCCCCACAGUGGGGGCUUUUCUUUUCUUUCUCCCCACCAGCUUUGAGCAGGCCUGUUUGAGAUUGGCCUUUUUAUGUUUGAUCUAAAGAAUAGUUGUUGGCCAAUUCCAUCUUUUCAUCACUGUUCUGCCAGGCCUAGAUCCAAGCGGCUUGUCAGAUGCUCAUUAACUCCCCCUUUGGCUCUUUGCAGUGUGUCUCCUAAGCUCAUUGUGCCAAGAACUCGCGCUUCUUUCUCCUCCUUUCUCUGCUCCAUCAGGGAGACAAAUUACUUUCCAAAAAGGGGGAUCGCCAGGGAUGGUUUAAUGAGAAUUUCUGCGGGGCUGGGACUGGUGGAAAAAGCGAUGUAGUUAACAUUCGGUGGACUUAAUUGGACUUUUCUCUUCUACCUCCUUCAAAAAAAAACUCCGAAGCUAUCCUGUUAAUCUCUCAUUUGUAAUCAAUUGUGUUGACUCAACAAAAGUCUAGGUCGUCCUUUCUUCCUGUCCCAGACAAUCCUUUGUUGCCUCUAAAUGCCUCAUUCUUGAGUGCUCCUGGUCUUGUAGAUGGGCUCGAUUGUUGACAGUUCAUUAUUGCGCUUUUGUCCAUUUAAUCUCCCUCGCUGUGUUUUGCAUGUGCAUGCCUUAAUGAGCUCCGUUGGCAAUUAACAUGUUUCUCGCAGCAAACUGGUUGCUCAGACGUUUGGAGGAGUGGAGUGCAGGAAAAGGGCAACGCAGCUGCCUUGCAAGGCUCCCCGCUUUCCCAGCCCCGGCACACAUCUCUCUCUCUCUCUCUCUCUCUCUCUCUCUCUCUCUCUCCCUCCCUCCCUCCCUCCCUCCCUCUUUCUCUCCUCCAGGCAGAAAACUUGCCUCCCUUGUCGAUCCACCUGGGACAACCUCCCUCCGCCACCAAGGAAAAAAAGGGGGGAGGCCGUUGAUUGGGCUGCGAGGGGAGGCCUCCAACGCUCAGCCAGGCAAAUGGAGUUUACACCCAAAGGGUGUUUGUGUGUUAUUUGUUGUUUUUUUAAUAAAAAAAAAUUCUGCACGC
rnacentral:lncRNA from 1 species